rnacentral:piRNA from 1 species
UGGACUAAACAUCAACUUGGUUGUUUUGAU